rnacentral:rRNA from 1 species
ACGAUUGAAGCCAGUCGUACCUUCGGGUAAUCAGCCUUUUGGGCAUGAUUCUGUGGAGUUUGAGGAGCUUAACACCUUCAUGCUUUGCAUAUUCGUGCUCUUGGGUGUACUUGCCCGUGUGGUUGGUUAACAUCAAUUUCGGGCACCAUAAAAUGACUGGAGGAAUGUAGCUUCGAUCUUGUAUUGAAGUGUUAUAGCCUUCGGUAGAUGUGGUGAUCGAGAUUGAGGAUUGCAACGGAUACCUUUCGGGGCUACCUGUCUGAUCUCUGAUCGUUGCUUUGGUGCUGAAAGCGUGCUUAUAGUUAUCAAAGUCGAUGGUCAAUAGGUUAGAAUGGGUUAAAUUCGUUAAGGAUGUUGACGUA